rnacentral:rRNA from 1 species
GUGUCAGCCGCCGCGGUAAUACGGAGGGUGCGAACGUUAAUCGGAAUUACUGGGCGUAAAGCGCGCGUAGGCGGUUCGGUAAGUGGGAUGUGAAAGCCCUGGGCUCAACCUGGGAACUGCAUUCCAAACUGCCGAGCUAGAGUGUGGUAGAGGGAGGUAGAAUUUCCUGUGUAGCGGUGAAAUGCGUAGAUAUAGGAAGGAAUACCAGUGGCGAAGGCGGCCUCCUGGAUCAACACUGACGCUGAGGUGCGAAAGCGUGGGGAGCAAACAGGAUUAGAUACCCCCGUAGUCC